rnacentral:rRNA from 1 species
GACGGAAGGUGCAAGCGUUGCUCGGAAUCACUGGGCGUAAAGGGUGCGUAGGCGGCCGUGCAAGUCUGGCGUGAAAGCCCCGGGCUCAGCCCGGGAAGUGCGCUCGAAACUGCGCGGCUCGAGUGCCGGAGGGGAGAGUGGAAUUCCUGGUGUAGCGGUGAAAUUCGUAGAUAUUCGGAGGAACACCAGUGGCGAAGGCGGCUCACUGGUCCAUUACUGACGCUGAGGUGCGAAAGCGUGGGGAGCAAACAGGG